UACAGAGGUCUCAAGCGUUGUUCGGAUUCAUUGGGCGUAAAGGGUGCGUAGGUGGCGCCAUAAGUCAGGUGUGAAAUCUCGGGGCUUAACUCCGAAACUGCAUUUGAUACUGUGGUGCUUGAGGACUGGAGAGGAGACUGGAAUUCUCGGUGUAGCAGUGAAAUGCGUAGAUAUCGAAGAGGAACACCAGUGGCGAAGGCGGGUCUCUGGACAGUUCCUGACACUGAGGCACGAAGGCCAGGGGAGCAAACGGG
rnacentral:rRNA from 1 species